GUUCCAUGCUAUGAACCCAGGCAGGUCUAUCACAAGAUCCUACACUAUAAAAUACUGCUUGCACAUAAAAGCUCACUGUUACAUGGAUGAAAUUUUUAAAAAGAGAGAUUAUUCACUCUUUGAUCAGCAAGACUAGGAAGCUGGGUGAUGUCCAGGGGGCGGAGCAUCUGGGGGAAGCUGUGUUUUGGUACCUCAUGUAGAUAAGAUGAUUGACUCCUCUUUUCCUAACAGAAUUCAGAAUUUGUUCAAGUGGCCACCUGCCUCCAGCUGCAGAAUGGAAUCCAAGUCUUUAAGGACAUGGAAAACCCGAAAAUGGCCUUCGUUAGUCAAGAAACCUACACUCUUCGAUUCUAAAUCUCGUCUUCUGAAGCCCAGCUAUGAGGACAGCUGUCAUGGUCCCCUUCUUUAAGCAGAACUUGACUUGUAAUAAAGGGAAAACCAGUCCUUUUUUUUUUUUGAUGAGGAAGGAUCCAAGUUGGAAUCCUGGCUUUUUGGCCAAAUUCUUUCAGAACAGAGAUUGAGGUGCUGGAGAAGAAAAAGAAUACCAACUCUGUAACUCUGCACUUAAGACAAUGACUAAGAUGACAAACUUUCUCUGAUAGAGGUUGUUUAUCCAGAGACAGAAAACUUCUUUGGCUCUCGGCACGCUAAGAAAGCUGGGGAAAACUUUGAUGCGAAUUGUCCAUAUGUAAUAACAUAUUUGGAGUCAUGUAUGAUUCAGGUUGCCAAGACCAGGGCUCAUUCUUAAAAUGUAAAAUAAAAAUUAGAAAAGGCCAUCACAGUAAACAGCAAGGAAGUCAGUUCAAACUCCAUUUGAAAAGUUGACCAGGGCACCAGCCCAGCAGUCUGGUUUCCUGCAAUUUGCGUCUGCCUGGAAUGGAUUGCAGCCUGUCAGCAGCUCCUCGGAAGAACCUGGUGCCUUGGAAGGAUGCAGAAGACCAGAUGCAAAAUGCCAGCCAGCAGAAGGAAACCUUGAUUCUUGUUUCUUGAAGAACCAGGGGGUCUGACUCAGCAGUUAGGCUCAGACCGGACCCCAGGUGUCUCCUUCCUUGCCAGUUGCAUUUCCAUCUGGCCCUGCUCCCACCUGGAGCUGCAGCAGAGACCAGAGAUGCCGCAGUGCCUUGCUUGGGACAGUGAGGCAGAGAAUGAAUCAUCAGAGGCGGUUUGCAGGUACAUAAAUGCUACCCAGGUGCAAACAGGUUUAUAGCGCUAAGCUGGU
rnacentral:lncRNA from 1 species